AUUGAACGCUGGCGGCAUGCCUUACACAUGCAAGUCGAACGGUAACAGGUCUUCGGAUGCUGACGAGUAGCGAACGGGUGAGUAAUACAUCGGAACGUGCCUAGUAGUGGGGGAUAACUACUCGAAAGAGUGGCUGAUACCGCAUGAGAUCUACGGAUGAAAGCAGGGGAUCGCAAGACCUUGUGCUACUAGAGCGGCCGAUGGCCGAUUAGGUAGUUGGCGGGAUAAAAGCUUACCAAGCCGACGAUCUUUAGCUGGUCUGAGAGGACGAUCAGCCACACUGAGACGGGGACACGGCCCAGACGCCUCCGGGAGGCAGCGGUGGGGAAUUUUGGACAAGGGGCGCAAGCCUGAUCCAGCAAUGCCGCGUGCAGGAUGAAGGCCUUCGGGUUGUAAACUGCUUUUGUACGGAACGAAAAGCCCCGGGUUAAUACCCUGGGGUCAUGACGGUACCGUAAGAAUAAGCACCGGCUAACUACGUGCCAGCCGCCGCCGUAA
rnacentral:rRNA from 1 species